GUGCUUGUUUUACAAGCACAUACACUAAUAUUGGAACCAUACAAAGAAGACAAGCAUGGCCCUGCACAAGGAUGACAUUCAAAUUCAUGAAGCAUUCCGUAUUUAC
ensembl:snRNA U6 U6 spliceosomal RNA